rfam:Dipodomys ordii contig_82883, whole genome shotgun sequence.
GGUGGCUCAGUGGUAGAGCGCUUGCCUAGCAUGCAUGAAGCCCUGGGUUCAAUUCCUCAGCACCA